GAUCCUGGCUCGGGAUGAACGCUAGCUACAGGCUUAACACAUGCAAGUCGAGGGGCAGCAUGGUCUUAGCUUGCUAAGACCGAUGGCGACCGGCGCACGGGUGAGUAACGCGUAUCCAACCUGCCUUACACUCUUGGACAGCCUUCUGAAAGGGAGAUUAGUACAAGAUGUUAUCAUGAGUAAGCAUUUUCGCAUGAUUAAAGGUUUACCGGUGUAAGAUGGGGAUGCGUUCCAUUAG
rnacentral:rRNA from 1 species